rnacentral:tRNA from 2 species
GUCAGGGUGUCUGAUUUAAGUGGUAAAUUGUAAAUUUACUUAAAGGUUUUAACCUUCCUGACA